GAUAUAUGUGGCAGCCUACAGAUGUUGGCGUACAGAAAUGGACAAUUGGGGGGGCACCGGUUAAUAAAUAUAUGUUUUUUGUGUUUUAUUUUUUUAUUUUGUUUUUAUUUUCUUUUUUUAAUAAUAUGGUGCUACCCCUUUUGCUCCGGAGGGCAGAGCAAGAGGUGGACAUAAGAAAAAGACGAGAACAUGUGCACGAGCCCGUGAGAUCCUGCGGGUGUGCAAAUCGUACCCGGUUUGCUAGGGGUGCAAGACAGUGGUACUAUCAAAGCUACUGCAAUUUGUGAUAGUCCUAGUGCCUGAAAGUUUGAAAAUUAGGGACUUAAGGGAAUUGUUCGAAGGGUACUUACGUAGUUGCAUACGCUCGCCACCAGGAUCCAUGUUUUGGAACAAUUGAAUGGGAAAGGACUCAUUUUUGACCAGGAAUUGAACGAAAAUUUAAUAAAUGUCCAGACAUAACCUCUCAUUUCACCUGCCUAGUACCUUUUUUUCGACUUUUAAUCUUCAGAUCGUUAUUGAACCGAUUAUGAAAUUUAGGAGUCCACAUGACUAAUUGUGAAAAUUUAACAUGGAAAUAGGAAAAACUGUUGUACGAUUAUUAAUAAAAAUCAUAUAUUAAUACUGGUU